rnacentral:rRNA from 1 species
UACAGAGGGGGCAAGCGUUUAUUCGGAAUUAUUGGGCGUAAAGGGCGCGUAGGCGGCUUUGCAAGUGACGGGUGAAAUCCCUCGGCUUAACCGAGGAACUGCCUGUCAAACUGCAUGGCUUGAGACCGGGAGAGGUGAGUGGAAUUCCCCAGUGUAGCGGUGAAAUGCGUAGAUAUUGGGAGGAACACCAGUGGCGAAGGCGGCUCACUGGACCGGUACUGACGCUGAGGAGCGAAAGCCAGGGGAGCAAACGGG